GCUAACUAAGUGGGUCACCUCUUUGCUUUUCGAAUGAGGACUGAGCUUCACUACCUCUUUGGCAUACCAAUAAACCCAGCAACAAGAAAAAGAAACAAUGUUCAUUAUGCCGCUGCAUGGGGACUUUCUUUAAGAGUUUGGGCAGUAAAUGGUUUUUAAUCCCAGGAUGCAAUGAUUGUGAUAAUGUAAGCCAAGCAAAGUGAGCGUCGGUAAUAAAAUCAUUUCAAAUAUGAACAGAAUAAAAAAUUGGUCAGAAGGAUCUUGUUACGAGUGACACAAAUCUGGAAUCUUAUAAUUCUGUUCUCAGCCUGCUAACUAUUUGGCAUUCUAAAGGAUAUAUAUAUUGCACAGCUACUCCUGAGUAAGGCCCAGAAGUCUGCCCAAUCCCUUGUAACUGCUGAGGCAACAAAUGAAGGCAACGGCUUGCUGGAAGACCCUAGGACCAUCACUCAUAGAUGUCCACAUUUCAGAACCCACUCCAUCCCACUUUGAUUCAAUUCCCUUUUGUUGCUUAAAAAUUCAAUUUGUUUAAUUGAGCUGUUGGACAGUAAAAUCUGAAUUCCAUGCAUUUUAACCAUUCAUAUUAAAUUUCUCUUCGCAUAGUACUUGUUAUUAAUAGGCUUUAAGAGAGGUCACUUUAAUAUAAAUGUGAUGACCUUACAAGCUUAUUAAAUGAUCUAUAUGCUUCUUUCCUCAAACUGAAAUUAAAUUGAAUAAAUGGAAGAUAAUGGCACAAUAGAUAUUUCUUCUCAAGGCUUUGAGAUCUUUUGAGGAGGUAUAAAACAGAUGUGAAGUACAAUUGACAUGUCUCGGUCUCUGUCCUUAGCAGUAAAAAUAAUAAAAUAAAAUACAGUGUGGUGGUAAAAUCUGAAGUUCUGUGAUAGCAUUAUGAAAACUAAUAAACUCGUAUUGUCUUUUUUGGCAUUUAAUAAUACAUUUACCCUUGGAACUUGUGUGGUAUUAUAUAACAAAUGCGUAUAAUGGCAUUUGGGUGGUUGAAGGGGGGUUGUUUUUAACAGGGGUUACGUGUUACUGACAUUUAAAUAGCACAACAUCUUUCCCUUCAGGAUUAAUAAAUACCAUGCAAACCAGCAUAAGACUUUAAGGUUUACUAAACUUUAAUCUGUAAAAUUUAAUAGCAAUCUCCAUCUCGUUAUGUGUAUACAGAAUCCUGGUUGGCUCUGCAAAUACUUUUAAGCUAUGAAUUAUGUUACAAGAAUGGGUUUGCUGUGUAUCAUUAUGUCCAGGUAAAUGCCAGAAUGAUGACAUAAUUGGUAGUUGGGAGUAAAAUACAACCCCAGUAAAAUGUUACUAAGGUAAACGUAGCCGGAUUGUAAUUCAUUAUACAUAAACAUGAUGACUUGUGUUAUUUAUCAUUUUGUGGAAUGCGGAAUAAACCGAGCUCUGAGAGCUUUCUUCGUUACUUUAUUCCAAAUAGUAACAAUGCUAUAGUCAGAGGGUUUUCUCAUUUAUUUCUAUACUUAUUUAUAUAUUUAAAGACGCACCCGUUCUUUACUGUCCUACUCUGGGAAAUAUUUCCAGAACUCCUUGCUAGUCGGAGCUAAGACGCCUGAAAUACAAAGACCUGAAAAGAAAGGAAAGGGGGGGGGGGACUCCUAGCCUCAUUAAGAAUGAUAUCUUGCCACUUUCAGACACUGACAAAUUUAUGACUUUGGAUUAAAGGUCAUAUGGGCAUUUCAGCCAUUAAAGCAGUUCCAUUUCAUAAUACCUGCAACCUUAAGGAAAUACAUUUCUUUCCCCACAUAGAUGUUUGUUAUGUUAGUUUCUGCUAAAGACAUACAGUAAUAGUUUGGAAGCAACAAAAGCCUAUUUUGUACCUGUUCAGCUUGCAAGUGUGCCUGCCUCAGGCUACUGUUUAACUUUUAACCCUCUUGUUCACAUAGCGUACAUGCAUAAAAACUACAAUGUACCACAUAACGAUGCAAAGCUUGCAGUCUUUUCGUUCAGACUGUUUGUCAAAAGAUGAGCUGGUCUCGGCUUUUAAAAUUAGCUCGGGAAAUAGCAAGGCAAAGCAAGCUGGGUAGAGCGUUUUCCUAUGAAAUGAACGCAUUGGGCUGUUUAAUGAGAUCUGAUACAUUUCUUUUAUGUUAAUAAAACUUUGAAACUAUAGGAAGUAAGUCCCUAAAAUGAUUUGUAGGAAUAAAGCCUU